GAUGAACGCUGGCGGCGUGCCUAAUACAUGCAAGUCGAGCGAACAGACGAGGAGCUUGCUCCUCUGACGUUAGCGGCGGACGGGUGAGUAACACGUGGAUAACCUACCUAUAAGACUGGGAUAACUUCGGGAAACCGGAGCUAAUACCGGAUAAUAUAUUGAACCGCAUGGUUCAAUAGUGAAAGACGGUUUUGCUGUCACUUAUAGAUGGAUCCGCGCCGCAUUAGCUAGUUGGUAAGGUAACGGCUUACCAAGGCGACGAUGCGUAGCCGACCUGAGAGGGUGUUCGGCCACACUGGAACUGAGCCACGGUCCAGGCUCCUACGGGAGGCAGCAGUAGGGAAUCUUCCGCAAUGGGCGAAAGCCUGACGGAGCAACGCCGCGUGAGUGAUGAAGGUCUUCGGAUCGUAAAACUCUGUUAUUAGGGAAGAACAAAUGUGUAAGUAACUAUGCACGUCUUGACGGUACCUAAUCAGAAAGCCACGGCUAACUACGUG
rnacentral:rRNA from 1 species